ensembl:misc_RNA Metazoa_SRP Metazoan signal recognition particle RNA
GCUGGGCGUGGUGGCUCACGCCUGUAAUCUCAGCACUUUGGGAGGCCGAGGCGGGUGGAUCACCUGAGGUCAGGAGUUCGAGACCAGCCUGGCCAACAUGGUGAAACCCCGCCUCCC